ACAAUAAAUCAAAACUUUCAACAACGGAUCUCUUGGUUCUGGCAUCGAUGAAGAACGCAGCGAAAUGCGAUAAGUAAUGUGAAUUGCAGAAUUCAGUGAAUCAUCGAAUCUUU
rnacentral:rRNA from 1 species